rnacentral:rRNA from 1 species
AGAUUGAACGCUGGCGGCAGGCCUAACACAUGCAAGUCGAGCGGUAGAGAGGUGCUUGCACCUCUUGAGAGCGGCGGACGGGUGAGUAAUGCCUAGGAAUCUGCCUAGUGGUGGGGGAUAACGUUCGGAAACGGACGCUAAUACCGCAUACGUCCUACGGGAGAAAGCGGGGACCUUCGGGCCUCGCGCCAUUAGAUGAGCCUAGGUCGGAUUAGCUAGUUGGUGAGGUAAUGGCUCACCAAGGCGACGAUCCGUAACUGGUCUGAGAGGAUGAUCAGUCACACUGGAACUGAGACACGGUCCAGACUCCUACGGGAGCAGCGAGU